UACGGAGGAUCCUAGUGUUAUCCGGGUUUAUUGGGUUUAAAGGGAGCGUAGGCGGGAGGUCAAGUCAGCUGUGAAAUGUAUCUGCUUAACGGGUACACUGCAGUUGAAACUGGUUUUCUUGAGUGCGUAAGAGGCAGGCGGAAUUCGUUGUGUAGCGGUGAAAUGCUUAGAUAUGACGAGGAACUCCUAUUGCGAAGGCAGCUUGCUGGGUCGUUACUGACGCUGAUGCUCGAAGGUGCGGGGAUCAAACAGGAUUAGAUACCCU
rnacentral:rRNA from 1 species